rnacentral:piRNA from 1 species
UAACAGGACCAACUAUGAGGCAGGGC